UACUUUAAGAAUCAAGUCACGACGUACA
rnacentral:piRNA from 1 species